CAGAGCAGACUAUGUCACGUAGUCUCGCAUUGUGGAGGAAGGUCUGGCUAAACCUGCAGAGGUAAGAACGACUGAGAGGAGGGAAGGAUACAAACUCAUCAGCUGACCAACGUUAGCGGAUUAAACAUUGUUUCACUUUCUUUUACACAAGAGACAUCUCACAUCUGCAUCCAAAUUACAAUAACCCGGAUCAUGGAGGUCGUGCCAGCGAUAGUGGAGGUCGUACCAGUGAUCGGGAAGGUCAUAGAAAUGAUCAUCAAGGUCUCGAAAGGCGUCCACUACCUGAUUAACACUAUGAAGGAAAAUAAUGAGACCUAUUCCAGCAUUUCCCAGAGACUCAAAGUACUGGAGGACCUGGUGAAGUCCAUUCAACAGGAUGUAAAUGAAGACUCCGUUAACGCUGCUUUAGAAAAACUCGGAGCUGUUCUGUCUUCAGCUUAUUGGAAGAUCGAGGAUUUCAAAGGUAAACGGAAAUUAAGUCGGAUGUUGAAAUCCAGACACUACAAAUCAGAGUUCGCUAAAAUGAACCAAAAUCUCACUGAGGCCUUUGAGUGUCUCUCUGCGGCUCUGCAUGUCCACGAAAGGAAGAAGCUGAAGCUGGUCGAACAUGAGAACAUGAUUCGUGUGCACGAUAAGGAACUGCGAAGACAGAACCCAGAGCGUAACGGUAGCUGUAUUAUACUAUAAAAGUUUUACAAGACCUUCCUCCACAGUGCUGCAGAGGAGGGUCCGGCUAGUCCACACAGCAUUCCGGGAUGGGAGUAACACGUGCUCUAGUUUAUUGGCAUUUUUUUUAAACCAAUCACAAUCGUAAUCGUCACUAAGCACCGGACAGAUCUCCUGAGCCGCGGCAAAAUAGCCUCGGAAAGGAACUUGUUUUGGUGGAACAUGUGUACGUUCAAAACUUGUUUUAGUC